GCUGAAGGAGCAGCUGAAAGCAGCUGCGCAAGAAACACCCCACCCCCCUGAAGAUCAUCGUCUUCAACACCAUCCCAAACGACCCCUUCCCCAUCCGUCCAGCUUCUCUUCAAUCUAGAGAGAUAGCGACCAUUUUUAUAUACUCAGACCCACCAGCGAACAACCAAGGGAACCAGCGAUACCCUUUCAUCUCUUCAACUCCACCACCAAUUCCGCCAACCACUCACCAUCAAGCAGAAACAGAAGCUGAAAAACGAAAAAUUGGGAGAAAAUUUCAAGGAUUUUCGGAUAGAAAAAUAGGAACAAGAACUAGAGUUUGGGUUUUUCUUUUCAGAUUUUCCCAUUUCUGUCUUCAUCUUUGUUUAUUUAUAGAUUAAAGGAAAUCGGUUCCUCUGGUCCAAUUUAAUUUCAAGUUCAAAAAAUACACAAAAAGGCAUUCUGGUAUUCUCUGAAAUUUGUGUUUCGAAGAAAUGGAGUUUAGUUGAGUCAGUUUGAAUUUGCCGAUUUCGAGUCGCCGUUCGAGGUUCACAGUGGAGUUCUCUGUUGCUGUUGCAAUUCGAAUCUGACUUGUAAUUGCUUGUAAAUCGAAUCAAUUAAAGAAAUAUUGCUCAGUAUACAAAGUUGGCUAUAUAAUCAUGUUGAAUUUGAUCGGUUGUUCAACCGGAGAUUCCGUUGGCCUAUUGUUAGCUUCGGCAGAUCUGUAGUCUUAUAAGAAUCAAAUAAUUCCUAAUAUGGUUUGUCUCUUUUUUUCUUAUUUAGUCAUUUGUUAGGAUUCAUAUUUGUUAUAAAAUUCUGUUUGUUUCAUUCUUUAGUUGGAAAACAAAUAGUCCGAGAAUUACUAUGAAUUUGUUUAAGUUACUUGGGGUUGUUUUAUUUCCUUAAUAAACAUAUCGUAGUCUGCUGUGCUUCUCGCUAGAUUUUACAAAUGGUAAAGAAAACAUUGCAAGUGUAAAUGUGAGCACUUCAUUUUUGAUGAAAAUGUUUGACUUUGGAUUAAGUGUUGA